UGGGGAAUAUUGGACAAUGGGCGAAAGCCUGAUCCAGCCAUGCCGCGUGUGUGAAGAAGGUCUUCGGAUUGUAAAGCACUUUAAGUUGGGAGGAAGGGCAGUAAGCGAAUACCUUGCUGUUUUGACGUUACCGACAGAAUAAGCACCGGCUAACUCUGUGCCAGCAGCCGCGGUAAUACAGAGGGUGCAAGCGUUAAUCGGAAUUACUGGGCGUAAAGCGCGCGUAGGUGGUUCGUUAAGUUGAAUGUGAAAGCCCCGGGCGCAACCUGGGAACUGCAUCCAAAACUGGCGAGCUAGAGUAGGGCAGAGGGUGGUGGAAUUUCCGGUGUAGCGGUGAAAUGCGUAGAUAUAGGAAGGAACACCAGUGGCGAAGGCGACCACCUGGGCUCAUACUGACACUGAGGUGCGAAAGCGUGGGGAGCAAACAGG
rnacentral:rRNA from 1 species